GAUGAACGCUGGCGGCGUGCCUAAUACAUGCAAGUCGAGCGAAUGGAUUAAGAGCUUGCUCUUAUGAAGUUAGGGGCGGACGGGUGAGUAACACGUGGGUAACCUGCCCAUAAGACUGGGAUAACUCCGGGAAACCGGGGCUAAUACCGGAUAACAUUUUGAACCGCAUGGUUCGAAAUUGAAAGGCGGCUUCGGCUGUCACUUAUGGAUGGACCCGCGUCGCAUUAGCUAGUUGGUGAGGUAACGGCUCACCAAGGCAACGAUGCGUAGCCGACCGGAGGGGGUGAUCGGCCACACUGGGACUGAGACACGGCCCAGACUCCGACGGGAGGCAGCAGUGGGGAAUCUUCCGCAAUGGACGAAAGUCUGACGGAGCAACGCGGCGUGAGUGAUGAAGGCUUUCGGGUCGAAAAACUCUGUUGUUAGGGAAAAACAAGUGCUAGUCGAAUAAGCUGGCACCUUGACGGUACCUAACCAGAAAGCCACGGCUAACUACGUGCCAGCCGCCGCUGUAA
rnacentral:rRNA from 1 species